UAAUACGGAGGGUGCAAGCGUUAUCCGGAUUCACUGGGUUUAAAGGGUGUGUAGGCGGGCUAUUAAGUCAGUGGUGAAAUCUCCGGGCUCAACCCGGAAACUGCCAUUGAUACUAUUAGUCUUGAAUCUUGUUGAGGUAGGCGGAAUAUAUCAUGUAGCGGUGAAAUGCAUAGAUAUGAUAUAGAACACCGAUUGCGAAGGCAGCUUACUAAACAAGCAUUGACGCUGAGGCACGAAAGCGUGGGGAUCAAACAGGAUUAGAUACCCUGGUAGUCCACGCCCUAAACGAUGAUUACUCGACAUACGCGAUAUUACAGUGUGUGUCUGAGCGAAAGCAUUAAGUAAUCCACCUGGGAAGUACGUCCGCAAGGAUG
rnacentral:rRNA from 1 species